rnacentral:rRNA from 1 species
CGGAGGGUGCAAGCGUUAUCCGGAAUCAUUGGGUUUAAAGGGUCCGCAGGCGGAUUUAUAAGUCAGUGGUGAAAGCCUACAGCUUAACUGUAGAACUGCCAUUGAUACUGUAAGUCUUGAAUUUGGUCGAAGUGGGCGGAAUAUGACAUGUAGCGGUGAAAUGCAUAGAUAUGUCAUAGAACACCGAUAGCGAAGGCAGCUCACUAGGCCAACAUUGACGCUCAUGGACGAAAGCGUGGGGAGCAAACAGGAUUAGAUACCCUGGUAGUCCACGCCGUAAACUAUCAAUACUCGUUUUCAGCGAUAUACUGUUGGAGACUAAGCGAAAGUGAUAAGUAUUGCACCUGGGGAGUACGGUCGCAAGGUUG